CACACUGCGGUGAAUACGUUCCCGGGUCUUGUACACACCGCCCGUCAAAACCAUGAAAGUCACCAACCAACCCGAAGUCCGAUUCGUCGGCCUAAGGUGGGGGGAUGAUUGGGUU
rnacentral:rRNA from 1 species